UUUCAGCCUGAAGUGUUUCAAGAGUUUGGGGUUAUCUCAGAGAAGACCUCUAAGAUGUGUGCCAUAAAGGAAAUCUUUCAUAAAGUCACGUGGAUCCUCAGGGCUUUCAAUGGGACUCAAGAGGCUGAGAGAUGGAUGUCGCGUGUGUAUGUGUGUAUGUUUGUGUGUGUGAGAGAGAGCGAGAAAGAGGGAAAGAGAGAGACAGAAUGAAGGAGCAACCGUCCUGCCUGCUUCUGAAAUUUUAGGUGUUGUUACUGAGGCUAAAACAAAACAAAAACAACAAAAAAGAAAAAAAUUCUUCCUCCUUUCUCAGACAAACUCAGAUCCAAAUGAGGGCUUGUAACAAAUAUAAGUGGUCUCUAGCAAAAAUUUCUUUUAAAUACUAGAAGUUUUGAACACACGGUAGAUACAGACAAAUUGGUUAAGUGUUUGGUGUCAAAGGUUAAUGAAAAAUAGAAUUUGAAGGAAAGAGCAUUCCUCAUAACUACUGCAGGAACGAGGACUUUGAUUCUAGAUGACGCUCCCUCCAACUUUCUGAAUUCUCUCACUCACCAAUUUAUUCAUGCCACACUCAGGUAUAAUGUGGCUUGUGUCUGUGAGCAUCUGUUGGUCUCUCAAGACACGAGAAUGUGUGAAAAUCGAGCACGUCCUCAAGGAAGGUAGAGUCCAGUGGAGGAGACAUGUAAGUAAGCUCUGCAACUCCUUGAAGCUAAUAUUUGGCUUCUCUUCUGGCAGCUGAAUGGACUUGGGGUCAGAAAAUAGCUAUUUACAGAGUAUCUUCUGUGGACAGCCCUAACCUGGGCACAGAGACAGGAUGUACGUGUACAGUAAAUAACACAAGACAUUGUCUUGUCUUCUAGAAGCUAAGGAGUUGGAUAGAGGAGUUAGAGGCCACAACUGCAGAGUCGUGUAUAAAGAAACCAUGAGAGAAAUGGCAUCAGAAGAGGACAAGCUAUGUGACAUAGGACAUCAGUGAAACCUUGCAGUAGAACGCCAUGCCUGGCACAUGAGAAGAUUCGCCUUGAGCUUACAUCUGUGCCAGUCUUCUUCCAUUUUGUAUGUGGGUCGCCACCACAGCAUGGCUGAUGAACAGAAAAAUUCCCUCUCACUGCUCUGUGGAGAACAACUGGGAGGGGCACAAGAGUGGAAGCAAGGAGAUGAAUCAGGAGAAUAUUGAAGCAGACCCAGUGAGGCAUAACUGUGGCAUGAACUAGGAGGAGACAGAAGAAAUGCAGAAAAAUGGAUGGACUCAAGACACCUCAGACAGAGAAAGCUGACAGGAUUCGCUGCUGUGGGAGGUGAGCGUGGAGAACUGGGUAGGGGUUGCUGGCAUUUGCUGAGAUCAUCUGAAGGCUUAACUGGCUGUUAGCAGGAAACUCAACUCCUUGCUGUCUGUUGGACAGAAGCCUUGAUUCCUAGCCAUGUGCAUCUCUCCAUGGGGCUGCUUGAGUGUCCUCACAAUAUGGCAGCUGGAUUCUUCCAGAAUGACUGAGCCAAGAGGGAGCAAGGCAGCAACCACAAUGCCUCUUAAGACCUGGCCUAGUAAGUGACACACUGCUGGGUCUGCCUUAUGCUAUUUAGUCACACAAACCAACCCUGAUACAGUAUGGAAGGGGAGGACACAAGGGCAUGAACACCAGGAGUUGGAGGUCAUUGGGGGCCAUCUUGGAAGCUGCUUUUCACAAAUGCAUUGCUAGUUGUGCCACUGGUUCAGGGACAGGCUGCAGCUUUUAGGGAGGUGAGUACUUGGGGACAGCAGUGAGGAGCAGACUCAUUGUAUUAGUUCGGGUCCUCCAGGGAACCAGUACCGAUAGGAUGUAUAUAUGUAUGUAGAGAAAGAGAUUUAUCGUA
rnacentral:lncRNA from 1 species